UACGUAGGGCGCAAGCGUUAUCCGGAAUUAUGCGGAGAAGCACUCGUAGGCGGUUUGUCGCGUCUGCCGUGAAAGUCCGGGGCUCAACUCCGGAUCUGCGGUGGGUACGGGCAGACUAGAGUGAUGUAGGGGAGACUGGAAUUCCUGGUGUAGCGGUGAAAUGCGCAGAUAUCAGGAGGAACACCGAUGGCGAAGGCAGGUCUCUGGGCAUUAACUGACGCUGAGGAGCGAAAGCAUGGGGAGCGAACAGG
rnacentral:rRNA from 1 species